UGCAAGUCGAGCGGCAGCGCGGGGGCAACCCUGGCGGCGAGCGGCGAACGGGUGAGAAAAGCAUCGGAACGUAUCCAAGAGUGGGGGAUAACCUAGCGAAAGCUAGGCUAAUACCGCAUAAGCCCUGAGGGGGAAAGUGGGGGAUCGCAAGACCUCACGCUGGUGGAGCGGCCGAUGUCGGAUUAGCUAGUUGGUGAGGUAAAGGCUUACCAAGGCGACGAUCCGUAGCUGGUUUGAGAGAACGACCAGCCACACUGGGACUGAGACACGGCCCAGACUCCUACGGGAGGCAGCAGUGGGGAAUUUUGGACAAUGGGGGCAACCCUGAUCCAGCCAUGCUGCGUGAGUGAAGAAGGCCUUCGGGUUGUAAAGCUCUUUCGGCGGGGACAAAACGGCGACCGCGAAUAACGGUUGUUAAUGAUGGUACCCGAAGAAGAAGCACCGGCUAACUACGUGCCAGCAGCCGCGGUAAUACGUAGGGUGCGAGCGUUAAUCGGAAUUACUGGGCGUAAAGCGUGCGCAGGUGGUUUCGUAAGUCAGAUGUGAAAUCCCCGGGCUUAACCUGGGAAUGGCAUUUGGAACUGCGAAGCUAGAGUACGGCAGAGGGAGGUGGAAUUCCACGUGUAGCAGUGAAAUGCGUAGAUAUCAGGAGGAACACCGAUGGCGAAGGCAGGUCUCUGGGCUGACACUGACGCUCAUGCACGAAAG
rnacentral:rRNA from 1 species